AGUAACACGUGGAUAACCUACCUAUAAGACUGGGAUAACUUCGGGAAACCGGAGCUAAUACCGGAUAANAUUUUGAACCGCAUGGUUCAAAAGUGAAAGACGGUCUUGCUGUCACUUAUAGAUGGAUCCGCGCUGCAUUAGCUAGUUGGUAAGGUAACGGCUUACCAAGGCAACGAUGCAUAGCCGACCUGAGAGGGUGAUCGGCCACACUGGAACUGAGACACGGUCCAGACUCCUACGGGAGGCAGCAGGAGGC
rnacentral:rRNA from 1 species